UUAAACAUGGCAGCAACCUUUGGCCCAUACGACAUCAAACACCACAUAAUACAGGUCAAGGGAAUGAACUGCUAUUGUAAAACAUGCUAGUCCAAAUUAUAUGAAAGCAAAAAGUCCCAUCUUCCAACAAUGUUCAGAAAAAAGAAAAAAGUCAAAAGAUGCUCUAAUUAAGCUUCUAAGCCAAAAUUACUUACUCCUUCAUACAGGUCAAGGGAAUGAACUGCUAUUGUAAAACAUGCUAGUCCAAAUUAUAUGAAAGCAAAAAGUCCCAUCUUCCAACAAUGUUCAGAAAAAAGAAAAAAGUCAAAAGAUGCUCUAAUUAAGCUUCUAAGCCAAAAUUACUUACUCCUUCAUACAGGUCAAGGGAAUGAACUGCUAUUGUAAAACAUGCUAGUCCAAAUUAUAUGAAAGCAAAAAGUCCCAUCUUCCAACAAUGUUCAGAAAAAAGAAAAAAGU